CCCCUCCCCUUACUGACAGAUAAGCAUGCUUAAGUAUUGAGUCUCUUGUUUUUGCAUCAUGCAACUUUUAUUGCAAGCGAGUCAGAAAUCAGUUUUAAGGGGUAAACUUGCAUCAUCAGAUAGUUCAGUGUCUGGAGUCAUUUUGUAUCUUGUCGAGAGUUGCCUCAUUGGCAAUCAUAAUUACCACAUCUUCUUUUUUAUAUCCGAACUAGAUUUUUUUAAAUACUUC
rnacentral:lncRNA from 1 species